rnacentral:rRNA from 1 species
GUGUCAGCCGCCGCGGUAAUACGUAGGAGACGAGCGUUAUCCGGAUUUACUGGGCGUAAAGAGGGCGUAGGCGGUCUUUCAAGUCGGAUGUGAAAUCUCCCGGCUUAACUGGGAGGGGUCAUUCGAUACUGUUGGGCUAGAGGGCAGCAGAGGGAGGUGGAAUUCCCGGUGUAGUGGUGAAAUGCGUAGAUAUCGGGAGGAACACCAGUGGCGAAGGCGGCCUCCUGGGCUGUUUCUGACGCUGAGGCCCAAAAGCGUGGGGAGCGAACAGGAUUAGAUACCCUGGUAGUCCACGCUGUAAACUAUGGACACUAGGUAUGGGGAGUAUCGACCCUCUCCGUGCCGAAGCUAACGCUUUAAGUGUCCCGCCUGGGGACUACGGCCGCAAGGCUAAAACUCAAAUGAAUUGGCGGGG